rnacentral:rRNA from 1 species
UGGGGAUCAGCGGCGAACGGGUGAGUAACACGUGGGCAACCUGCCCUCAGCUCUGGGAUAACUCCGGGAAACCGGGGCUAAUACCGGAUACGACUUCCUGCGGCAUCUCGGGAAGUGGAAAGUUUUUCGGCUGAGGAUGGGCCCGCGGCCUAUCAGCUUGUUGGUGGGGUAAAGGCCCACCAAGGCGACGACGGGUAGCCGGCCUGAGAGGGCGACCGGCCACACUGGGACUGAGACACGGCCCAG